GGGAAUCUUCCGCAAUGGGCGCAAGCCUGACGGAGCAAGACCGCGUGCGGGAGGACGGCCUAUUGGUUGUAAACCGCUUUUGAUAGGGAAGAAGCUCUGACGGUACCUAUCGAAUCAGCAUCGGCUAACUCCGUGCCAGCAGCCGCGGUAAUACGGAGGAUGCAAGCGUUAUCCGGAAUUAUUGGGCGUAAAGCGUCCGUAGGUGGUUGUUCAAGUCUGCUGUUAAAGCGUGCGGCUUAACCGCAUACCAGCAGUGGAAACUGGGCGACUAGAGUGCGGUAGGGGUCAGGGGAAUUCCCAGUGUAGCGUGUGAAAUGAGUAGAUAUUGGGAAGACCAGUCGUCAUGAGGAUUCUCCGCAAUGCGAUAGAUANACUAGUGUCAUGGACUGACC
rnacentral:rRNA from 1 species